rnacentral:lncRNA from 1 species
GGGCGGGGAAGGAGGGACACGCAGGCGGCAAGUCAGGGGGAGCCGUAUAGGGGGAGGGGGGCGGCGCUGGGGUGGUGGGCGGAGGAGACCCCAAAGGUGGGGUGGUGGGUGGCGGAGACCCCAAUGGUGGGGGACGUUGGGUGGUGGAGACGCCAGCGUUGGGGUUGGAGACCCCAAUGUUGGGUUCAUUGGGUGGUGGAGACCCCAAAUUUGAGGUUGGAGACCCCAAAGUUGGGAUUUGUUGAGUGGAGACCCCAAAGUUGGGGUUUGUUGAGUGGAGACCCCAAAGUUGGGUUACGCUGAGGGACUGGGGGGGUCUUUGGGGUCUGUUGGGUGAAGCCCCCCAUUUAGGGGUGAGCAGAUGCCCCUCUUCGUGUUGGGGUCCAUCGGGUCCCAGGUUGGGGGGCUCCCUUCGUUAGCGGGGCCGUUCGUUAGCGGGGGG